CUCAGAGAGUCCAUCCAAGACUAGCCCAACUCUACUGAUUUUGAUAGAAAGAAUAUGUAUUCAACUGACGGACGGUUCAGCUCCUUGCCCUCAGGGUCCAGUCGUUUACCGGUCAACCGGGUUUCUAUAUCUCUACACACUUCUUUUGCAAGGUCUCAACUGGCCAAGACGUGUGAAGGGCCCUCCAGGAUUGUUGUGACCCAGGCCAACAUUCCGUUGUGGUCAAACGUCACUUAUGACGGCGACAAGAAAAAGCUCCUGGUCACCUCAAAGCUGUUCAACAUGUUUGUCCAGUGUCUUUCUGGGGAUGGAUAUGACCGUGAUGGACCAGAAUGGGCUGUGGGGACGUCAUGUCCUUCUGAUAAUCUAUCGGAAGGGUGGGAAGGAUGGAAGGCCUCAACUCGAUUGCAGCUAAACGAAAAGCA